AGAAACUUAGGUUACCCAAACCGAAGGCCUUCAAAGCCUUAAACAAGAGCUAAUCCCUCUUAGUUUCUG
rnacentral:tRNA from 1 species